rnacentral:rRNA from 1 species
AGAGUUUGAUCCUGGCUCAGAACGAACGCUGGCGGCAGGCCUAACACAUGCAAGUCGAGCGCACCCUUCGGGGCGAGCGGCGGACGGGUUAGUAACGCGUGGGAAUAUGCCCUUUACUACGGAAUAGCCUCGGGAAACUGAGAUUAAUACCGUAUGUGCCCUUCGGGGGAAAGAUUUAUCGGUAAAGGAUUAGCCCGCGUUAGAUUAGGUAGUUGGUGGGGUAAUGGCCUACCAAGCCUACGAUCUAUAGCUGGUUUGAGAGGAUGAUCAGCAACACUGGGACUGAGACACGGCCAGACUCCUACGGGAGGCAGCAGUGGGGAAUCUUGGACAAUGGGCGCAAGCCUGAUCCAGCCAUGCCGCGUGAGUGAUGAAGGCCUUAGGGUCGUAAAGCUCUUUCGCCAGGGAAGAUAAUGACGGUACCUGGCAAAGAAACCCCGGCUAACUCCGUGCCAGCAGCCGCGGUAAUACGGAGGG